rnacentral:rRNA from 1 species
ACUAGUGAUUUUCCGGUUGAUCCCGCCGGACCUGACUGCUAUCGGAUUGAUACUAAGCCAUGCGAGUCAUUGUAGUAAUACAAGGCAGACGGCUCAGUAACGCGUAGUCAACCUACCCUGUGGACGGGGAUAACCUCGGGAAACUGAGAAUAAUACCCGAUAGAACAUUAUGCCUGGAAUGGUUUAUGUUUCAAAUAAUUUAUUGCCGUAGGAUGGGACUGCGUCCUAUCAGUUUGUUGGUGAGGUAAUGGCCCACCAAGACUAUUACAGGUACGGGCUCUGAGAGGAGUAGCCCGGAGAUGGGUACUGAGACACGGACCCAGGCCCUAUGGGGCGCAGCAGGCGAGAAAACUAUGCAAUGUGCGAAAGCACGACAAGGUUAAUCCGAGUGGUUUCUGCUAAAGGAACCUUUUGUCAGUCCUAGAAACACUGAUGAAUAAGGGGUGGGCAAGUUCUGGUGUCAGCCGCCGCGGUAAAACCAGCACCUCAAGUGGUCAGGAUGAUUAUUGGGCCUAAAGCAUCCGUAGCCUGCUUUGUAAGUUUUCGGUUAAAUCCAUACGCUCAACGUAUGGGCUGCCGGGAAUACUGCAAAGCUAGGGAGUGGGAGAGGUAGACGGUACUCGGUAGGAAGGGGUAAAAUCCUUUGAUCUAUUGAUGACCACCUGUGGCGAAGGCGGUCUACCAGAACACGUCCGACGGUGAGGGAUGAAAGCUGGGGGAGCAAACCGGAUUAGAUACCCGGGUAGUCCCAGCUGUAAACUAUGCAAACUCAGUGAUGCAUUGGCUUGAUGCCAAUGCAGUGCUGCAGGGAAGCCGUUAAGUUUGCCGCCUGGGAAGUACGUACGCAAGUAUGAAACUUAAAGGAAUUGGCGGGGGAGCACCACAAGGGGUGAAGCCUGCGGUUCAAUUGGAUUCAACGCCGGG